rnacentral:rRNA from 1 species
UAGGGAAUCUUCGGCAAUGGGGGGAACCCUGACCGAGUAACGCCGCGUGAGUCAAGAAGGUUUUCGGAUCGUAAAGCUCUGUUGUUAAGGAAGAACGAGUGUGAGAAUGGAAAGUUCAUGCUGUGACGGUACUUAACCAGAAAGGGACGGCUAACUACGUGCCAGCAGCCGCGGUAAUACGUAGGUCCCGAGCGUUGUCCGGAUUUAUUGGGCGUAAAGCGAGCGCAGGCGGUUAGAAAAGUCUGAAGUGAAAGGCAGUGGCUCAACCAUUGUAGGCUUUGGAAACUGUUUAACUUGAGUGCAGAAGGGGAGAGUGGAAUUCCAUGUGUAGCGGUGAAAUGCGUAGAUAUAUGGAGGAACACCGGUGGCGAAAGCGGCUCUCUGGUCUGUAAAUGACGCUGAGGCUCGAAAGCGUGGGGAGCGAACAGG